rnacentral:rRNA from 1 species
GACGAACGCUGGCGGCGUGCUUAACACAUGCAAGUCGAACGGAAAGGCCCUGCUUUUGUGGGGUGCUCGAGUGGCGAACGGGUGAGUAACACGUGAGUAACCUGCCCUUGACUUUGGGAUAACUUCAGGAGACUGGGGCUAAUACCGGAUAGGAGCUCCUGCUGCAUGGUGGGGGUUGGAAAGUUUCGGCGGUUGGGGAUGGACUCGCGGCUUAUCAGCUUGUUGGUGGGGUAGUGGCUUACCAAGGCUUUGACGGGUAGCCGGCCUGAGGGGGUGACCGGCCACAUUGGGACUGAGAUACGGCCCAGACUCCUACGGGAGGCAGCAGUGGGGAAUAUUGCACAAUGGGCGGAAGCCUGAUGCAGCAACGCCGCGUGCGGGAUGACGGCCUUCGGGUUGUAAACCGCUUUCGCCUGUGACGAAGCGUGAGUGACGGUAAUGGGUAAAGAAGCACCGGCUAACUACGUG